rnacentral:lncRNA from 9 species
ACCAACAUUACAUUGAAACUCUUAGGGAUACUUUAAAUUGGUGGAUUAUAUGGUCGCUUGAUUAAGUUUGGGUUAUGUAAACAGUGGAGUGUUUAGAUUUAGGCUUGGCUGUUGGAGUCCAGGCAGCUGUUUGUACUUAAGUCCAGCAAGAAGGCUUGUUAAUCAAAGAACUGACUGAAUUUCUUUCUUUCUCCCACCCCUGCCCGCUGCUUUUUUUGUACCUGUGUUGUUUUUCCUCCUGUCCAAAACCCUUUGGGCUCAGGACUGUUGGGAGGCAAGGCAGAGUGUUUUGAAUUCUCCUCCGAGGACCAGGAACUUAUUUUUUUGAUUACAUGGAUGUGCCCCACAGAUUUCCCUCACUGUGAGAUUUGUUCUACAUUACAUGUCUACAUUGCUGUUUCCCUGGAGAAUUGGGAGUGAUGAGAGAAGAGAAAAUGGAUAUCCAGGCUCCAGUCCCCAAGAAGUCAAACCGGCCCAAAGCUCCAGGCAUAUUAAAAUCAUUUACCAUUAAUGAAUGCUAGAAUGAAAUCCCAAACUCUAGUUCCAGCAUAUGAUGGCAAAG